GAAUAUUGGCCAAUGGGCGAAAGCCUGAUCCAGCAAUGCCGCGUGAGUGAUGAAGGCCUUAGGGUUGUAAAGCUCUUUUACCCGGGAUGAUACUGACAGUACCGGGAGAAUAAGCUCCGGCUAACUCCGUGCCCGCAGCCGCGGUAAUACGGAGGGAGCUAGCGUUGUUCGGACUUACUGGGCGUAAAGCGCACGUAGGCGGCGCCGCAAGUCAGGGGUGAAAUCCCGGGGCUCAACCCCGGAACUGCCCUUGAAACUGCAGUGCUAGAAUCUUGGAGAGGCGAGUGGAAUUCCGAGUGUAGAGGUGAAAUUCGUAGAUAUUCGGAAGAACACCAGUGGCGAAGGCGACUCGCUGGACAAGUAUUGACGCUGAGGUGCGAAAGCGUGGGGAGCAAACAGG
rnacentral:rRNA from 1 species